CCCAGAUGUCACCAAACCCAACCCUGACCCCAUAAACACCCCCAGGAUCACCCCAUAAGGCCUGGCAUGACCCCAGGUAUCCCCAAACCCAACCCUGACCCCAUAAACACCUUCAGGACAAUCCCAUAGGGCAUGGGAUGACCCCAGGUGUCCCCAAACCCAACCCUGACCCCAUAAAUACCACCAGGGUCGGCCUGGAGGGUGUGGGGUGGCCCCACAUGGCCCCAGAUGUGCCAAAGGAUGGCCAAAAUCCCAUACAGACCUUCCUAAAGUUCUUCUGAUGCUUCCAUCGACCCCAAAAGACCUCAAACCCAACCCUGACCCCAUAAACACCACUAGGAUCACCCCAUAAGGCCUGGGAUGACCCCAGAUGUCCCCAAACCCAACCCUGACCCCAUAAAUAUCA
ensembl:lncRNA